rnacentral:SRP_RNA from 1 species
CACCACCCUCGGCGUGGCGGAUGUGAAUCUGGUCAGGGCCGAGAGGCAGCAGCCAUAAGCGUUACGGCGGGUGAGGGUGGCUUUU